rnacentral:rRNA from 1 species
CCUACGGGUGGCAGCAGUGAGGAAUAUUGGUCAAUGGGCGAGAGCCUGAACCAGCCAAGUCGCGUGAGGGAGUACUGCCCUAUGGGUUGUAAACCUCUUUUGUCGGGGAGCAAAAGCCGGACGUGUCCGGCUGUGAGAGUACCCGAAGAAAAAGCAUCGGCAAACCCCGUGCCAGCAGCCGCGGUAAUACGGAGGAUGCGAGCGUUAUCCGGAAUAUUGGGUUUAAAGGGUGCGCAGGCGGAUUUUUAAGUCAGCGGUAAAAUCGUGGGGCUCAACCCCAUCCAGCCGUUGAAACUGGGGAUCUAGAGUGUGCGAGAGGUAUGCGGAAUGCGUGGUGUAGCGGUGAAAUGCAUAGAUAUCACGCAGAACCCCGAUUGCGAAGGCAGCAUACCGGUGCACAACUGACGCUCAGGCACGAAAGCGUGGGUAUCGAACAGGAUUAGAUACCCUUGUAGUC